rnacentral:misc_RNA from 1 species
GAAAUGCGAUACGUAAUGUGAAUUGCAGAAUUCAGUGAAUCAUCAAAAUUUUGAACGCAUAUUGCGCUGUUAGCUUCGGCUACCAGCAUGCCUAUUUCAGUGUCGGCUCCCAAACCUCACCCCACAAGGUGGACUUGAGUGUUUCAGUGUAAAAGCUGAAUCACUUGAAGUGAAGCGGUUUGGCUUUGCAUUCAUGCAAUGAGCCUAUUUAGUGUGUUAAGCUCCCAUCAGGGACGAUACCACUAGAUGGUGCAAGUUGCGCAGAGCUUCAAGCCUUCGCAAGGAAACAAACUCAAGCCUCGACCUGAAAUUAGGUAAGGUUACCCGCUGAAUUUAA